rnacentral:rRNA from 1 species
UCGAGAAUCUUCCACAAUGGACGAAAGUCUGAUGGAGCGACGCCGCGUGAUUGAUGAAGUCCUUCGGGACGUAAAGAUCUUUUAUGAGGGAAGAAGUUUAUUGACUGUACCUCAUGAAUAAGGGGCUCCUAAUCUCGUGCCAGCAGGAGCGGUAAUACGAGAGCCCCAAGCGUUAUCCGGAAUUAUUGGGCGUAAAGGGUGCGUAGGCGGUUAUGUUAGUCGUGUGUUAAAACCCGGGGCUCAACCUCGGAUCUGCGCACGAAACGGCAUUGACUUAGAAUGAAGGAGAGGUGUGCGGAACUCAUGGUGUAGGGGUGAAAUCCGUUGAUAUCAUGGGGAACACCAAAUGCGAAAGCAGCACACUGGCCUUUUAUUGACGCUGAGGCACGAAAGCGUGGGUAGCGAAUGGG